rnacentral:rRNA from 1 species
UUCCGGUUGAUCCCGCCGGAGGCUACCGCUAUUGGAGUCCGAUUAAGACAUGCGAGUCGAGAGCUUUCGGAGCUCGGCAUACUGCUCAGUAACACGUGGGUAACCUGCCCUGUGCUGGGGGAUAACCUCGGGAAACUGAGAACAAUACCCCAUAGUCCACUACGCCUGGAACGGUGAGUGGAUGAAAGCCCCGGCGGCACAGGAUGGGCCUGCGGCGUAUCAGGUAGUAGGGGGUGUAAAGUACCCUCUAGCCUUCGACGCGUACGGGUUGUGAGAGCAAUAGCCCGGAGAUGGAUUCUGAGACAAGAAUCCAGGUCCUACGGGACGCAGCAGUCGCGAAACCUUGACAAUGCGGGAAACCGUGAUCAGGGGACUCCAAGUGCCAGGAGUAAGAUCCUGUGCUUUUCUUUUCUCUUCAAAGGAUUUGGAAUAAGAGGUGGGUAAGGACGGUGCCAGCCGCCGCGGUAAUACCGGCGCCUCGAGUGGUAGUCGAUUUUAUUGGGCCUAAAACGUCCGUCGCCGGUCUGGUGCAUUCGUGGGUAAAUCAACCCGCUCAACGGGUUGAAUUCUGCGAGCACGGCCAGACUAGGGACCGGGAGAGGUGUGGGGUACUCUCAGGGUAGGGGUAAAAUCCUGUCAUCCCGAGCGGACCACCUGUUGCGAAGGCUCCACACUAGAACGGAUCCGACGGUCAGGGACGAAGCCUAGGGGCACGAACCGGAUUAGAUACCCGGGUAGUCCUAGGUGUAAACGCUGUGGACUUGGUGUUGGGAGCUCCCAGAGGGCUCUCAGUGCCGUAGCGAAGGUGAUAAGUCCACUGCCUGGGGAGUACGGUCGCAAGGCUGAAACUUAAAGGAAUUGGCGGGGGAACACCGCAACCUGAGGAUUGUGCGGUUUAAUUGGAUUCAACGCCGGG